ACUUUGAAAAGAGAGUCA
rnacentral:snRNA from 1 species